CCUUCCUUCAUUAUCAACAAUAAGAGAUUUUCUUUCUAACUAUCCAAAAUGCAGUCUAGAAGAUUAGGAAAAUCUUAGAAAUAAGUUUAAAUACCAACCCGGAAUGAUAUUAAAUUUGAAAAAACAAUCCCAAGCCAAUAAAUUUGAAAUCCCAAGCUCAGAGUACCAUAGUUACAUUCAAAGUUCAAAACGAUCCCCAAGCCAAAAAAGUCCGUCCGGCAACAUUAACACCUCACAACAAAAAAAAAAUCUGUGAUGAAGAUUGAAGACUGAAGAGAGUUAACAAUCGGAAGAGAAUGACAUUGAGUCAAGUUUGGGGAUUUCUGAAUCAAUGUAAAGAUGAUUGGCUGUGCGGGAAGAAAGAUUGAGAACGGAAGAAUGCAGUUCUACAGCUUCCUUGAUUCUUUUGUGUGCAAUACGGCGGUGGGAUAGAAUAGAAAUCAAAUUAGGGAUUAUGCUUGGUCAAAUCCGGUUCAACUGGUUUUGACGGAUUUAUUCGGUUUGACCGAACUAUAAAUCAAUUCAGUUUUUCAUGCAAACUAAAUUAAACAGUAAAUCGGUUUCUAAUUGAAUCUAUAUCACCCGUGUAUAUGUACUUCCAGUACUUUUCCCUUAUCAAAAUUUUAUGAACAUAUUCAGUGCCAUAUUUUCUUUUUCCGAUUUUACUAUCUAGGCUGGUGUGGUGACAACCACCGCAAAACUGGAACUAAAACUCCUAGCUUCUGUUCUGUUGCUUCUACGCUAGUUUCUGGGUAAUGAAUACGUUUGCAGAGUUGUGCUUGAUUUAUAGUCAAAGAAGAACCGCCGAAAAGAGGGAAAAAUAAAGGCAAGUAGCUCUGCCUUCGGAUUCUUAGUUGCUCACCUGAGUAGUGAUAGUGUAAUGCCAGUUCUUUUCUGUUGCCAUUUGUGAUGUUAUUUCUCUGGGUUUUUGCUAUGCUGACAAAAUCCAAGUGAGCAAGUGUGUAAAUAAUGUUCUGCUGGCUUUUUGCAAUCAUUUUCAUUCUUCAAGCUGAAGUUCUGUUUAGUUACACGGGAAAGAGGUAAUUAAAUCUGUUGAAUCAUGAACUCGCUUCCGUAGUCGGAUCAAAAUGGAGGCAAUGCAUUUUAGUUCAUAUGGAAAUUCGCUACUUUUAUUUUUCCCUACACUUGACUGCGUCUGUAUUUAUCUAUAUCUUAUGUAUGCUUCUUUGUCAGCUUUCCUGUCUACUCUAUCUGUUAAUGCUGAUCAUAUGUUCAUUCCUUUUAUACAGAGUCAAAGCCAAGUGGGAAUACUGUUCCAUCCAAGCCAUCUAUAAAGCAUUACAAAAAGCUUUGUUUAAUUUGCUGUCUUUAACUUCUUCUUGUUCUGCAUGGAUGUUCUAAUGAUUCUUUUCUUCUUCUUCUUCUUCUUCUUUUUUUCUUUUUGUAUUGAGUCAAUAAUUCUUGACUGAACAUAUUGUGUAUGAAAUUUGUGUUAUCAUUAUAUAUCGACCAAAACACUGAUCAUAUUUACUUAUUUGGGCAGAAGUGUGAUCUAUUGUCAUAAUCACUUGCUUCCCUUGUAUUCAUGCGAAUUCACAAAUUUUGUUUCUAUUAAGAGGACAGGAUUCCUUCACAUCAGCAUUUGCCUUAUUAUUAUUAUUGUUGUGGUUGAUAUUAUUUUUGCUGAAAUUGGGAACCUGUUUUCUAGUCUAACUUUAGUCUUUCUUUGCUGUGCUAUUUUGCAUUAUCCUAAGAUCUUAUGUUUCAGAAGCUUCCUCCCUGGUUUAGCAUAGAUAUCCUGAAGUACGUUUUAUGGUGAGGUGCCGCAUUAAUAGUCAUUGAGCUGAGAUCGUAAUCUAUUUGGGAUUUUAAUGCAGAAGAAUGAUGAUUAUUCCCCACAUACCAUGUCUCAAGACUUUGUUGACAAGAAGAGAGCACACUUUGCUGAAAUUGAUGAGGGGAAUAGAUAGGAAAUAUAAUGUUUAUGCUGCAUUCAAGGCAUCCUAACUCGUCAAAUAGUAGUUGUAUGGUUAGAACAAUUUGAUAUAUGUUGUAAUAACUACUAUGCUAACCACAAUGUAAGUUCCUUAAAUCUUUUUGUCGGAAGCGAUUGUAAAAAUCGGCCUUAUGUUUUUUUAAAGAUAGGGCUAAAUUGCCUUACAUAUUAAUUAAAAUUCAAUGAUUUGUUACA